rnacentral:rRNA from 1 species
GAGGAUGAAGAUCUUCGGGUCGUAAACUCCUUUCAUCGGACGAAUUCCUUUCGGGGUGACAAUCCGGAGGUUGACGGUACCGACAGAAUAAGCACCGGCAACUCUUGCCAGCAGCCGCGGUAAUACAGAGGGUGCGAGCGUUAAUCGGAGUUACUGGGCGUAAAGGGCGCGUAGGCGGUGAGAUGUGUGUGAUGUGAAAGCCCCGGGCAACCUGGGAAGUGCAUCGCAAACUAUCUGACUGGAGUAUAUGAGAGGGUGGCGGAAUUUCCGGUGUAGCGGUGAAAUGCGUAGAGAUCGGAAGGAACGUCAAUGGCGAAGGCAGCCACCUGGCAUAAUACUGACGCUGAGGCGCGAAAGCGUGGGGAGCGAACAGGAUUAGAUACCCUGGUAGUCCACGCUGUAAACGAUGAGGACUAGAUGUUGGUAGGGGAACCUAUCAGUAUCGAAGCUAACGCGAUAAGUCUUCCGCCUGGGAAGUACGGCCGCAAGGUUGAAACUCAAAGGAAUUGACGGGGGCCCGCACAAGCGGUGGAGCAUGUGGUUUAAUUCGAUGCAACCGAACCUUACCUACUCUUGACAUCCUGCGAAUCCCGAAGAGAUUU